rnacentral:rRNA from 1 species
AGAGUUUGAUCCUGGCUCAGGAUGAACUCUAGCGGCAGGCUUAACACAUGCAAGUCGAGGGGCAGCGGGUGUAGCAAUACAUGCCGGCGACCGGCGCAAGGGUGCGUAACGCGUGAGCAAUCUGCCCGUAUCAGGGGGAUAAGCGAUGGAAACGUCGUCUAAUACCGCAUAACACCAAUGAUGGCAUCAUCGAUGGUUGAAAGCUUCGGUGGAUACGGAUGAGCUCGCGAGACAUUAGUUAGUUGGCGGGGUAACGGCCCACCAAGACCGCGAUGUCUAGGGGAACUGAGAGGUUGGUCCCCCACACUGGAACUGAGACACGGUCCAGACUCCUACGGGAGGCAGCAGUGAGGAAUAUUGGACAAUGGCCGGAAGGCUGAUCCAGCCAUGCCGCGUGAAGGAAUAAGGUCCUAUGGAUUGUAAACUUCUUUUGUACGAGAGCAAUAAGUGUCACGAGUGACACGAUGAGAGUAUCGUACGAAUAAGCAUCGGCUAACUCCGUGCCAGCAGCCGCGGUAAUACGGAGGAUGCGAGCGUUAUCCGGAUUUAUUGGGUUUAAAGGGUGCGUAGGCGGGAUUUUAAGUCAGCGGUGAAACGCAAGGGCUCAACCCUUGACCUGCCGUUGAAACUGGAGUUCUUGAAUGCGGAUGCUGUGGGAGGAAUGUGUGGUGUAGCGGUGAAAUGCAUAGAUAUCACACAGAACACCGAUUGCGAAGGCAUCUCACAAAUCCGUGAUUGACGCUGAGGCACGAAAGUGUGGGGAUCAAACAGGAUUAGAUACCCUGGUAGUCCACACUGUAAACGAUGAUAACUCGCU